GGUUAAGCGACUAAGCGUACACGGUGGAUGCCCUGGCAGUCAGAGGCGAUGAAGGACGUGCUAAUCUGCGAAAAGCGUCGGUAAGGUGAUAUGAACCGUUAUAACCGGCGAUGUCCGAAUGGGGAAACCCAGUGUGUUUCGACACACUAUCAUUAACUGAAUCCAUAGGUUAAUGAGGCGAACCGGGGGAACUGAAACAUCUAAGUACCCCGAGGAAAAGAAAUCAACCGAGAUUCCCCCAGUAGCGGCGAGCGAACGGGGAGGAGCCCAGAGCCUGAAUCAGUGUGUGUGUUAGUGGAAGCGUCUGGAAAGGCGUGCGAUACAGGGUGACAGCCCCGUACACAAAAAUGCACAUGCUGUGAGCUCGAUGAGUAGGGCGGGACACGUGGUAUCCUGUCUGAAUAUGGGGGGACCAUCCUCCAAGGCUAAAUACUCCUGACUGACCGAUAGUGAACCAGUACCGUGAGGGAAAGGCGAAAAGAACCCCGGCGAGGGGAGUGAAAAAGAACCUGAAACCGUGUACGUACAAGCAGUGGGAGCCCCACCACCAAAGCGUUUCGCUUUGCGUGGUGCGCAAAAUGCGUAACGACAGCACAAUUCACGGUUAACGGAGCGUAAGCGACGUUCAACACAAGAAUCAAGCAGUGGAGCGUUUUGGGGUGGGGUGACUGCGUACCUUUUGUAUAAUGGGUCAGCGACUUAUAUUCUGUAGCAAGGUUAACCGAAUAGGGGAGCCGAAGGGAAACCGAGUCUUAACUGGGCGUUAAGUUGCAGGGUAUAGACCCGAAACCCGGUGAUCUAGCCAUGGGCAGGUUGAAGGUUGGGUAACACUAACUGGAGGACCGAACCGACUAAUGUUGAAAAAUUAGCGGAUGACUUGUGGCUGGGGGUGAAAGGCCAAUCAAACCGGGAGAUAGCUGGUUCUCCCCGAAAGCUAUUUAGGUAGCGCCUCGUGAAUUCAUCUCCGGGGGUAGAGCACUGUUUCGGCAAGGGGGUCAUCCCGACUUACCAACCCGAUGCAAACUGCGAAUACCGGAGAAUGUUAUCACGGGAGACACACGGCGGGUGCUAACGUCCGUCGUGAAGAGGGAAACAACCCAGACCGCCAGCUAAGGUCCCAAAGUCAUGGUUAAGUGGGAAACGAUGUGGGAAGGCCCAGACAGCCAGGAUGUUGGCUUAGAAGCAGCCAUCAUUUAAAGAAAGCGUAAUAGCUCACUGGUCGAGUCGGCCUGCGCGGAAGAUGUAACGGGGCUAAACCAUGCACCGAAGCUGCGGCAGCGACGCUGAUGCGUUGUUGGGUAGGGGAGCGUUCUGUAAGCCUGUGAAGGUGUGCUGUGAGGCAUGCUGGAGGUAUCAGAAGUGCGAAUGCUGACAUAAGUAACGAUAAAGCGGGUGAAAAGCCCGCUCGCCGGAAGACCAAGGGUUCCUGUCCAACGUUAAUCGGGGCAGGGUGAGUCGACCCCUAAGGCGAGGCCGAAAGGCGUAGUCGAUGGGAAACAGGUUAAUAUUCCUGUACUUGGUGUUACUGCGAAGGGGGGACGGAGAAGGCUAUGUUGGCCGGGCGACGGUUGUCCCGGUUUAAGCGUGUAGGCUGGUUUUCCAGGCAAAUCCGGAGAAUCAAGGCUGAGGCGUGAUGACGAGGCACUACGGUGCUGAAGCAACAAAUGCCCUGCUUCCAGGAAAAGCCUCUAAGCAUCAGGUAACAUCAAAUCGUACCCCAAACCGACACAGGUGGUCAGGUAGAGAAUACCAAGGCGCUUGAGAGAACUCGGGUGAAGGAACUAGGCAAAAUGGUGCCGUAACUUCGGGAGAAGGCACGCUGAUAUGUAGGUGAAGCGACUUGCUCGUGGAGCUGAAAUCAGUCGAAGAUACCAGCUGGCUGCAACUGUUUAUUAAAAACACAGCACUGUGCAAACACGAAAGUGGACGUAUACGGUGUGACGCCUGCCCGGUGCCGGAAGGUUAAUUGAUGGGGUCAGCGCAAGCGAAGCUCUUGAUCGAAGCCCCGGUAAACGGCGGCCGUAACUAUAACGGUCCUAAGGUAGCGAAAUUCCUUGUCGGGUAAGUUCCGACCUGCACGAAUGGCGUAAUGAUGGCCAGGCUGUCUCCACCCGAGACUCAGUGAAAUUGAACUCGCUGUGAAGAUGCAGUGUACCCGCGGCAAGACGGAAAGACCCCGUGAACCUUUACUAUAGCUUGACACUGAACACUGGUCCUUGAUGUGUAGGAUAGGUGGGAGGCUUUGAAGUGUGGACGCCAGUCUGCAUGGAGCCGUCCUUGAAAUACCACCCUUUAAUGGCUGGUGUUCUAACGUAGGCCCCUUAUCGGGGUUGCGGACAGUGUCUGGUGGGUAGUUUGACUGGGGCGGUCUCCUCCUAAAGAGUAACGGAGGAGCACGAAGGUUGGCUAAUCCUGGUCGGACAUCAGGAGGUUAGUGCAAUGGCAUAAGCCAGCUUGACUGCGAGCGUGACGGCGCGAGCAGGUGCGAAAGCAGGUCAUAGUGAUCCGGUGGUUCUGAAUGGAAGGGCCAUCGCUCAACGGAUAAAAGGUACUCCGGGGAUAACAGGCUGAUACCGCCCAAGAGUUCAUAUCGACGGCGGUGUUUGGCACCUCGAUGUCGGCUCAUCACAUCCUGGGGCUGAAGUAGGUCCCAAGGGUAUGGCUGUUCGCCAUUUAAAGUGGUACGCGAGCUGGGUUUAGAACGUCGUGAGACAGUUCGGUCCCUAUCUGCCGUGGGCGCUGGAGAACUGAGGGGGGCUGCUCCUAGUACGAGAGGACCGGAGUGGACGCAUCACUGGUGUUCGGGUUGUCAUGCCAAUGGCACUGCCCGGUAGCUAAAUGCGGAAGAGAUAAGUGCUGAAAGCAUCUAAGCACGAAACUUGCCCCGAGAUGAGUUCUCCCUGACCCUUUAAGGGUCCUGAAGGAACGUUGAAGACGACGACGUUGAUAGGCCGGGUGUGUAAGCGCAGCGAUGCGUUGAGCUAACCGGUACUAAUGAACCGUGAGGCUUAACCUU
rnacentral:rRNA from 1 species